rnacentral:rRNA from 1 species
AGGUAAGUACUUGUACUUAUGCUGACGAGUGGCGGACGGGUGAGUAAUGCUUGGGAAUCUGGCUUAUGGAGGGGGAUAACUACGGGAAACUGUAGCUAAUACCGCGUAAUAUCUUCGGAUUAAAGGGUGGGACCUUCGGGCCACCUGCCAUGAGAUGAGCCCAAGUGGGAUUAGGUAGUUGGUUAGGUAAAGGCUGACCAAGCCGACGAUCUCUAGCUGGUCUGAGAGGAUGACCAGCCACACUGGAACUGAGACACGGUCCAGACUCCUACGGGAGGCAGCAGUGGGGAAUAUUGCACAAUGGGGGGAACCCUGAUGCAGCCAUGCCGCGUGAAUGAAGAAGGCCUUCGGGUUGUAAAGUUCUUUCGGUAGCGAGGAAGGCAUCUAGUUUAAUAGACUAGGUGAUUGACGUUAACUACAGAAGAAGCACCGGCUAACUCCGUGCCAGCAGCCGCGGUAAUACGGAGGGUGCGAGCGUUAAUCGGAAUAACUGGGCGUAAAGGGCACGCAGGCGGUGACUUAAGUGAGAUGUGAAAGCCCCGAGCUUAACUUGGGAAUUGCAUUUCAUACUGGGUCGCUAGAGUACUUUAGGGAGGGGUAGAAUUCCACGUGUAGCGGUGAAAUGCGUAGAGAUGUGGAGGAAUACCGAAGGCGAAGGCAGCCCCUUGGGAAUGUACUGACGCUCAUGUGCGAAAGCGUGGGGAGCAAACAGGAUUAGAUACCCUGGUAGUCCACGCUGUAAACGAUGUCGAUUUGGGGAUUGGGCUUUAAGCUUGGUGCCCGUAGCU